rnacentral:rRNA from 1 species
CCUACGGGAGGCAGCAGUGGGGGAUAUUGGACAAUGGGGGGAACCCUGAUCCAGCGACGCCGCGUGAGUGAAGAAGUAUUUCGGUAUGUAAAGCUCUGUCAGCAGGGAAGAAAGAAAUUACGGUACCUGACCAAGAAGCCCCGGCUAACUACGUGCCAGCAGCCGCGGUAAUACGUAGGGGGCAAGCGUUAUCCGGAAUUACUGGGUGUAAAGGAAGCGUAGACGGUUAAGUAAGUCUGGAGUGAAAGGCCGGGGCUCAACCCCGGGACUGCUCUGGAAACUAUUUAACUUGAGUGCAGGAGAGGUAAGCGGAAUUCCUAGUGUAGCGGUGAAAUGCGUAGAUAUUAGGAGGAACACCAGUGGCGAAGGCGGCUUACUGGACUGUAACUGACGUUGAGGCUCGAAAGCGUGGGGAGCAAACAGGAUUAGAUACCCCUGUAGUC